rnacentral:misc_RNA from 1 species
GAAAUGCGAUAAGUAAUGUGAAUUGCAGAAUUCCGUGAAUCAUCGAAUCUUUGAACGCACAUUGCGCCCUCUGGUAUUCCGGGGGGCAUGCCUGUUCGAGCGUCAUUGCAAACCCUCAAGCGCGGCUUGUGAGAUGGGCUAGCGUCCCCCGCUCCGGGUGGACGAGCCUGAAAUGCAGUGGCGGCACCGAGUUCUUGGUGUCUGAGUGUAUGGGAUUUAUAACAUCACUCAAAGACCCGAUCGGCGCCGAUCAUCAAAACUUUUGAUUUUAUCCGGUUUGACCUCGGAUCAGGUAGGAGUACCCGCUGAACUUAA